rnacentral:rRNA from 1 species
UGAAGGGUGUGUGGUGGAUGCCUUGACUCUUGAGAGCGAUGAAGGACGCAGCGUGUCUGCGAAAAGUUCCGGGGAGCUGACGAGCAAGCCUCGAUCCGGAAGUCUCCGAAUGGGGAAACCCGCCGUACUUCGUACGGCAUCUUCAACGGGUGUUGAAGGAGCUCACCUCGGGAAGUGAAACAUCUCAGUACCGAGAGGAAAAGAAACCAACAGGACAUCUCGGUCUCUCUGCCGAUGCAAGUCGGCCGAGGGACCGGGAUUCUGGUAUUCCCUGAAUAGCGGCGAGCGAAAGGGGAGAAGCCCAAACCGUCUCGAGCAAUCGACGCGGGGUUGUAAGGCGAGCGUGUUCCAUUUAUGGAAGGAGAGUGAGCAAUCGUGUUCGUAGCGGAACCUGCUGGGAAGCAGGACCCUAGAGGGUAACGGUCCCGUACGCGAAAUGAAUACGACUCUCUUGCGUUCGUUCUUGAGUAAUCCGAGACACGAAUAGCUUGGAUGAAUCCGCCGGAACUAACCGGCAAGGCUAAAUAUCUCAAGAGAUCGAUAGUGAACCAGUACCGUGAGGGAAAGGUGAAAAGCAGCCCGGUGAGGGCGGUGAAAUAGUUCUGAAACCACACAUCUACAAGGAGUCGAAGAGGUGCUCGCACCUCGACGGCGUGCCUAUUGAAGAAUGAGCCGGCGAGUUUACGCAUGCGGCAUGGCUAAGGGCCUCGAAGCCCGGAGCCGAAGGGAAACCGAGUGUGAAUAGCGCGACUAAGUCGCUUGCGUAAGACCCGAAGCCAGGUGAGCUUGCCAUGAGCAGGGUGAAGUUUGCCGAAAGGCAGAUGGAGGCCCGAACCCGUUCGUCGUACAACGCGUUGGGAUGACUUGUGGUAAGGAGUGAAAAGCUUAUCGAACCUGGUAAUAGCUGGUUCUCUCCGAAACAGCUUUUGGGCUGGCGUCUGAUGUUCCUCCUGGGGGUAGAGCACUGGAAGGGUCAAAUAGGGAGCAAUCUCGUUGACCCUAUCAAACUCCGAAUACCAGCGAGCAAGAAUCAGGCAGUUAGACGAUGGGGGCUAAGCUCCAUACGUCGAGAAGGGAAGAGCCUAGAUCUCAAGUUAAGGUCCCUAAAUUCGUGCUGAGUGCAACUUAAGGAAGUGAAGGUUCUAAGACAGUGAGGAUGUUGGCUUAGAAGCAGCCACCAUUUAAAGAAAGCGUAACAGCUCACUCAUCGAGAACUUUUGCGCCGAAGAUAAUCGGGGCUAAGCACGAUACCGAAACUGAGGGAUUGUUUCCGCUUCGGCAGAAACGAUCGGUAGGAGAGCGUUCCAAACCGCGAUGAAGGAUAAGGGGUGACCCACUCUGGAGCGUUUGGAAGUGAGAAUGCCGGCACAAGUAACCACAAUGCGGGUGAGAACCCCGCACGCCGAAAGACCGAGGUUUCCUUGGCACUGAUGAUCAGCCAAGGGUUAGCCGGGCCUAAGCAAAUGGCGAAAGCCGCAUGCGAUGGACACAGGGUUAAUAUUCCCUGGCCUCGCGCUGGUGCGAUGGAGAGACGGAGGGCUGUACCUGCCGCGCAUGAUUGGAUGUGCGUCAGUGCCGUGAGGACGUGCCGUAGGAAAAUCCGCGGUGCACAAUCCGAGCGGAGCCGGAAUUGCCUGGUUCGCCAGGCGAGACGGCAGGGAGCGCGCUUCCCAGAAAAUCUUCUAAGCUUCAACCAGCGAGAGUCCGUACCGCAAACCGACACAGGUGGUCUGGUCGAGAAGACCAAGGCGAACGAGUGAGAGGUCCUCAAGGAACUCGGCAAAAUAGCGGCCGUAACUUAGGGAUAAGGCCUGCCCUUUCUCCUUCGGGAGGCGGGGCCGCAGCGAAAGAUUCCCAACCGACUGUUUACCAAAAACACAGCUCCCUGCGAACUCGUAAGAGGAGGUAUAGGGGGUGACACCUGACCAAUGCCAGAAGGUCAACUACGGGUGGUGCUAUUCAGCAAUGGGUAGUGCUGGCUUGUAUAAGCCCUGGUCAAUGUCGGCGAUAACUAUAAUCGUCCUAAGGUAGCGUAAUUCCUUGUCUGGUAAGUUCAGACGUGCACGAAUGGUGUAACGAGUUGGGAACUGUCUCGAGGACUUGCUCGGUGAAAAUACAGUACCGGUGAAGAUGCCGGUUACUCAUAGUUAGACGAAAAGACCCCAGAAGCUUUACUGCAGCUUCGUAUUGGGAUUGCGACUCGUCUGCGUAGCAUAGACGGGAGAGGUUGAAGCGGUGCUCUUGGGUGCCGUGGACUCGCCAGUGAAAUACCGUUCUUACGCGUUGCAAUUUCUAACCUCGGGAAAAACACCCGGGAGACAGUGCGUGGCAGGCAGUUUGAGUGGGGCGCUCUCCUCCCAAAAAGUAACGGAGGAGCCUACAAAGGUCAGCUAGGCGCGAAUGGAAACCGUGCCGGUCGUGUAAUGGCACAAGCUGGCUUAACUGCGAGACGUACUUGUCGAGCAGACACGAAAGUGGAGCAUAGUGAUCCGACCUUAUGCAUUAGAUGCAGGGGAAGCCCAACGGAUAAAAGUUACUCUGGGGAUAACAGGCUAGUUCCGCCUAAGCGUCCAUAGCGACGGCGGAGUUCGGCACCUCGAUGUCGGCUCACCACAUCCCGGAGCUGGAGAAGGUUCCAAGGGUAUGGCUGUUCGCCAUUUAAAGUGGUACGCGAGCUGGGUUCAGACCGUUCAGUUGCUGAAGCGAUUCGGCGCUUGAGCAGUCUGAACCCCAUCGAAGAAGUGUUGUCCGAAAUUGUUAAAAGGUUUUUUCGUCGAACAAAAGGAAAAGAAACCGACCAAUCACGGCGGUCGCAUGCAGGAAUGCAUGCGGACAAUUCAACUGAUAUCGGAAA